CAGCCGCCGCGGUAAUACGUAGGGUGCAAGCGUUAAUCGGAAUUACUGGGCGUAAAUCGUGCGCAGGCGGUUAUAUAAGACAGAUGUGAAAUCCCCGGGCUCAACCUGGGAACUGCAUUUGUGACUGUAUAGCUAGAGUACGGCAGAGGGGGAUGGAAUUCCGCGUGUAGCAGUGAAAUGCGUAGAUAUGCGGAGGAACACCGAUGGCGAAGGCAAUCCCCUGGGCCUGUACUGACGCUCAUGCACGAAAGCGUGGGGAGCAAACAGGAUUAGAUACCCGAGUAGUCCCUGUCUCUUAUAC
rnacentral:rRNA from 1 species